rnacentral:tRNA from 1 species
GGUCGGGAUAGCUCAGCUGGUAGAGCAGAGGACUGAAAAUCCU